GGCCCCGCACAAGCGGUGGAGUAUGUGGUUUAAUUCGAUGCAACGCGAAGAACCUUACCAGGGUUUGACAUCCUGCGAAUCUCUUGGAAACUUGAGAGUGCCUUCGGGAGCGCAGUGACAGGUGGUGCAUGGCUGUCGUCAGCUCGUGUCGUGAGAUGUUGGGUUAAGUCCCGCAACGAGCGCAACCCACGUCUUUAGUUGCCAGCAUUUAGUUGGGCACUCUAGAGAGACCGCCGGUGAUAAACCGGAGGAAGGUGUGGAUGACGUCAAGUCAUCAUGCCCCUUACAUCCUGGGCUACACACGUACUACAAUGGUCGGUACAGAGGGCAGCCACACCGCAAGGUGGAGCG
rnacentral:rRNA from 1 species